rnacentral:rRNA from 1 species
GCCAGCCCGCUCAGAAACUUAAAGGAAGUUGACGGGGCCCGCACAAGCGGUGGAGUAUGUGGUUUAAUUCGAUGCAACGCGAAGAACCUUACCUGGUCUUGACAUCCCGGAGACCCUUAGGAAACUAGGGGGUGCUUCCAUCUGGAAGAAUCUGGAGACAGGUGCUGCAUGGCUGUCGUCAGCUCGUGUCGUGAGAUGUUGGGUUAAGUCCCGCAACGAGCGCAACCCUUGCCUUUAGUUGCCAGCAGUUCGGCUGGGCACUCUAAAGGGACUGCCGGUGUUAAACCGGAGGAAGGUGGGGAUGACGUCAAGUCCUCAUGGCCUUUAUGACCAGGGCUACACACGUACUACAAUGGCCGAUACAAAGGGCAGCGACACUGCGAGGUGAAGCCAAUCCCGUAAAAUCGGUCUCAGUCCGGAUUGGAGUCUGCAACUCGACUCCAUGAAGUUGGAAUCGCUAGUAAUCGUGGAUCAGCAUGCCACGGUGAAUACGUUCCCGGGCCUU